AGAACGAACGCUGGCGGCAGGCUUAACACAUGCAAGUCGAACGCGUGUAGCAAUACACGAGUGGCGCACGGGUGAGUAACGCGUGGGCAUCUGCCUCAUGGUUCGGAAUAACCCCGGGAAACUGGGGCUAAUACCGGAUGGUACCUUCGGGUUAAAGAUUUAUCGCCAUGAGAUGAGCCCGCGUCCGAUUAGCUAGUUGGUGAGGUAACGGCUCACCAAGGCGACGAUCGGUAGCUGGUCUGAGAGGACGAUCAGCCACACUGGGACUGAGACACGGCCCAGACUCCUACGGGAGGCAGCAGUGGGGAAUAUUGGACAAUGGGGGCAACCCUGAUCCAGCCAUGCCGCGUGAGUGAUGAAGGCCUUCGGGUUGUAAAGCUCUUUUAGGCGGGACGAUGAUGACGGUACCCGCAGAAUAACGCCCGGCUAACUCGCGCCAGCAGCCGC
rnacentral:rRNA from 1 species